rnacentral:rRNA from 1 species
UACGUAGGGAGCGAGCGUUGUCCGGAAUCAUUGGGCGUAAAGAGCAUGUAGGUGGAUCAAUUAGUCUGCUGUGAAAGUCAAAGGCUCAACCUUUGAAAGCCGGUGGAUACUGUUGAUCUAGAGUACGGAAGAGGCGAGUGGGAUUCCUGGUGUAGCGGUGGAAUGCGCAGAUAUCAGGAGGAACACCAAUGGCGAAGGCAGAUCUCUGGGCCGUAACUGACGCUGAGGAGCGAAAGCAUGGGGAGCGAACAGG